rnacentral:rRNA from 1 species
AAUUGAAGAGUUUGAUCAUGGCUCAGAUUGAACGCUGGCGGCAGGCCUAACACAUGCAAGUCGAACGGUAACAGGAAGCAGCUUGCUGCUUCGCUGACGAGUGGCGGACGGGUGAGUAAUGUCUGGGAAACUGCCUGAUGGAGGGGGAUAACUACUGGAAACGGUGGCUAAUACCGCAUAACGUCGCAAGACCAAAGAGGGGGACCUUCGGGCCUCUUGCCAUCAGAUGUGCCCAGAUGGGAUUAGCUAGUUGGUGAGGUAACGGCUCACCAAGGCGACGAUCCCUAGCUGGUCUGAGAGGAUGACCAGCCACACUGGAACUGAGACACGGUCCAGACUCCUACGGGAGGCAGCAGUGGGGAAUUGCACAAUGGGCGCAAGCCUGAUGCAG